rnacentral:rRNA from 1 species
ACUCCUGCGGGAGGCAGCAGUGGGGAAUAUUGGACAAUGGGCGCAAGCCUGAUCCAGCCAUGCCGCGUGAGUGAUGAAGGCCCUAGGGUUGUAAAGCUCUUUCACCGGUGAAGAUGAUGACGGUAAACGGAGAAGAAGCCCCGGCUAACUUCGUGCCAGCAGCCGCGGUAAUACGAAGGGGGCUAGCGUUGUUCGGAUUUACUGGGCGUAAAGCGCACGUAGGCGGACUAUUAAGUCAGGGGUGAAAUCCCGGGGCUCAACCCCGGAACUGCCUUUGAUACUGGUAGUCUUGAGUUCGAGAGAGGUGAGUGGAAUUCCGAGUGUAGAGGUGAAAUUCGUAGAUAUUCGGAGGAACACCAGUGGCGAAGGCGGCUCACUGGCUCGAUACUGACGCUGAGGUGCGAAAGCGUGGGGAGCAAACAGGAUUAGAUACCCCUGUAGUCCC